GACGCUUUAGCUCAAUUGGGAGAGCGCCAGACUGAAGUGAACUUUGGUUAUUAAUAUCUGGAGGUACAGUGUUCGAUCCACUGAAGCGUCA